rnacentral:tRNA from 1 species
GUUCAGUGGUAGAAUACUCGCCUGCCACGCGGGCGGCCCAGGUUCGAUUCCUGA